rnacentral:lncRNA from 1 species
GGGUAUGGACACGGGUACGGCCACGGAAAAGGACAUGGGUACCAAAAAGGACAUGGGCAUGGGCAUGGGAAACCUGGUCAUGGGGGACCUGGCCAUCCACCUGGUCAUGGUGGUGCUGGUGAGGAUGUGGAAGAGGGGACGCAGAAUUAGUGUAAUCAAUCCUUAAUUAUGUGGGCUACGCAUGAUUAGGGUGUGUUUUAUGUAAGUUUAUGAAAGCGUGUGUAUCAAUAAGGCAUGUGGGCUUAGGGUUACUCUCUAAGACCAGCAUGGCUGUGUUGUAGCUUCUAUGCUUAAUAUAAUGCUUUUUCAUGUGCUGUGCUAAAAUGGAGUAUGAUGAAUGCCGUCGGGUGAUCUACCCUUUUUUUUUUUCUUGGGAUUAUAUUAUUUACUUCGGAGUAAUUUUGUUGAGAUAUGAUUUUGUGUAAAUAUACUUACCAUCAUUGGUUUCAAAUUAUAUUAGUUUAUACCCUCACCAACAUACCCACCUCAAAUCUUUACCUAAAAUUGAUCUAAAAACCUAAAAUUUAUCUAAAAAGUAAAUUGUGAACAUGCGAAAUUUAAAACCAGCAACAACUUAGGCUAUGUUUGGUUUUCGAAAAAUUUGAGGAAAAUGUAAAGGAAAGAAAAUAGAGAGGAAAAGUAAAAGGAAAGAAAAGGAAAAUAAAAAAUAGAGUUAAAGAUAAUAAAUCAUUUUUAUUUGUUACUUUAAAUUUAUAUUAUUUAUUUUAAUUUAUCAAUAUAAAAAUUAAAUAAUUUUAAAAUAUAUAAGUUUUUAAUUAAUUUUAAUUAUAUUUAAUUUUCUUUGUAAUAUUUUAUAGGAUAAUUAAAUAUGAGAAAAUCAUUUUUUAUCAUUUUUUUUUUCUUUUGUACUUUUCGGGAACCAAACAUAACUUUAGUGUAUUUACACUCAACCUUAAAAGUAUAAAUGAGAUUAAUUUUUAUUUGGAAUUAUUGGAAUUUGGAUUUGAAAAGAAAGAAAUUUUUUUUUUGAAUUGAGAAAAAAAUGAAGGUAAAAAGUAUAAUAACCAAUUAUAUAGUUAUAAAAAGAAUUUGCAUGGUAAAGCCUUUUAUUGAGAGGUCUUAGUUUUCUUUGAGAUAUUUUAAGUUGAAGAUUAUUGCAGUCAAUCCUAUUUUGUGGGUUAUUUAUAUAAAUUCAUUGAAAUUGUAGCUCGGGAGUAAAUGAAAUACAAAUAGGAUAUGCAUUCUCAGUCCUCUAUUUAAGAAACCAAAUGUAGUAUAAAAAAAAAUACUUAUGCAAUUUAAUAUAACAAUAAUACUUCCUAUCCAACACUUAGUCCAAGAGUUACUUAUAUUCCCAUUUUUAUAAGUAUACCAAAUAUAAUUAUUGUUGGUGCACAAUGAAUGAUUACUCGAUUUGGGUAGUUUUUUCCACUGGAUUGGAUGAUUUUGUAAAAAACGAGUCGUUGGAUGGUUGUUUUGGGCAUCCUUCUUCAAUGGUUAAGUUAGUUUGAGAAUUUUUAAGGCAAAUAUUUUGUAUGGGUUUAGAGUGUAUAUCUUUAUUUAUUUUUAACGUUCGAUGUUCUUUUAUAAUAGAGGCAUCUUAUAAUGGUGUUUAUAUUUUAUGAUUAUUAUUUAUUGUAGUUUUAGUGCAUGUUAGAGCAUAACGAUUUAGUCAUUGGAAAUGAUUGAUUAUUUAUAUUAUGAAAUAAUUACCUUUGAAAUGACACAUAAUGAUUGUAUUUAUAUUUUUACCAUUGGAAAAAUAAUUAUUGACUCUAAUUUGGUUCUAUGUUAGUCGGGCGAUACAAGUUGUAUCUAAAUCAUUAAAUGAUGAGAUUUUGAUUAUUGAAUGUGAAUAGAAAUGGAGGUGAUAAAAAUUUAAAGGCAUAAAUAAAUGGAAUUAAUGUAUAUAAAAAAAAAAGAUUUGAAAAUGGUUUAAGUGUUGGCAUGCGAGGGUGUCCUUUGUUAUCUAAGAUCGAUUUGAAGAGAAUUGAGAGGUCGGUGGACAUGAGGACAGAUAUGAGAAUGACGUGAGAUGGGACGUAAUCAUUCAAGAGAUAUCAUGUGAGUAGAAAUUAGAAUGUAGUGAACUUUGCCCAUGCAUAUGGAGUUGAAUUUUAAGCUCAAAUCCAACACCUGUCACCCAUGUGGCACUCUCAAUUGACAUAAUAGUGUUGUGUUUUGGACUUGGUGACGUGUGGAGGGACGUACGUAUACAUGAAUGGGCUGUUUCAGGGACUUUUCUCAAUAGUAUAGUAAUUUAAAAAAGUUAUGCUUAAAUUAUUAUAGUAGAAGAAGUUAUUACAAAUAUAUGGUAGUUUUUGCCACAUAGGAGAAAGGAGAGAGGAGAUAGGAGAGAGGGUGAACGGAUAAUUUUUUUUAAAAAAGGGAACUCGUCUCUUGAAGAGACGAGUUCCAUGAAAAAAAAAUAUAUAUUUUUUAAAAAAAAUUCCUAUUUACUCAAGGGAACUCGUCUCUUGACGAGUUCCAUGAAAAAAGACAAGGGAAAGACGAGUUCCUAGGGAAAAAAAAAUAUUUUUUUUAAAAUAUAUUUUUUAUUUAAAAAAAAUCCUAAAUUAAAUUAUAAAAAAAAUUUCCUAAAGGGAACUCGUCUCUUCAAGAGACAAGUUCCCAUGUAAAAAAAUUUUUUUUUUUUUUAAAAUAUAUAUAUUUAAAAAAAAAAAAUUUCCUUUUUUUUUAAUUUGGGAUUUUUUUAAAAUAAAAAAUAUAUUUAAAAAAAAAAUAUUUUUUUCCCAUGGGAACUCGUCUCUUCAAGAGACGAGUUCCCUUUAGCAAUUUUGAGAAAUUGUUUUUUUUUUUUUAAUAUAUAUAUAUUUAAAAAAAAUAUUUUUUUUACAUGGGAACUCGUCUCUUGAAGAGACGAGUUCCCUUUGGAAUUGUUUUUUUUUUUUUUUUUUAUUUGGGAUUUUUUUUUAAAAAAAAUAUUUUUUUUACAUGGGAACUCGUCUCUUGAAGAGACGAGUUCCCUUUGGAAUUGUUUUUUUUUUUUUUUUUUUUAUUUGGGAUUUUUUUUUUUUAAAAAAUAUUUUUUUCCUAUGGGAACUCGUCUCUUGAAGAGACGAGUUCCCUUUAGGANNNNNNNNNNNNNNNNNNNNNNNNNNNNNNNNNNNNNNNNNNNNNNNNNNNNNNNNNNNNNNNNNNNNNNNNNNNNNNNNNNNNNNNNNNNUUUUAUUUAUUUAAAAAUAUAUAUUUUUUUUUACAAGGGAACUUGUCUCUUCAAGAGACGAGUUCCCUUUAGCAAUUUUGAGAAAUUGUUUUUUUUUUUUUUUUAAUAUAUAUAUAUUUAAAAAAAAAUAUUUUUUUUACAUGAAGAGACGAGUUCCCUUUGGAAUUGUUUUUUUUUUUUUAUUUUUUUAUUUUUUUAUUUGGGAUUUUUUUUAAAUAAAAAAUAUAUUUUAAAAAAAAAUAUUUUUUUUCCCAUGGGAACUCGUCUCUUGAGUUUCCUUUAGGAAUUUUUUUUUUUUAAAAUAUAUAUAUAUUUUUAAAAAAAAUAUUAUUUUUACAUGGGAACUCCCUUUAGGAAUUUUGAGGAAUUGUUUUUUUUUUUUUUUAAUAUAUAUAUUUUAAAAAAAAAAUAUUUUUUUUUACAUGGGAACUCGUCUCUUGAAGAGACGAGUUCCCUUUGGAAUUGUUUUUAUUUUUUUAUUUUUUUUAUUUUUAUUUUUAUUUUUAAUUUGGGAUUUUUUUAAAUAAAAAAUAUAUUUAAAAAAAAAAAAUUUCCCAAGGGAACUCAGGAAAUUUUUAUUUUUUUUAAAUAUAUAUAUUUUUAAAAAAAAUAUUUUUUUUUUACAUGGGAACUCAUCUCUUCAAGAGACGAGUUCCUUUGAGGAAUUGUUUUUUUUUUUUUUUUUUAAUAUAUACAUUUAAAAAAAAAAAUAUUUUUUUUUUACAUGGGAACUCGUCUCUUCAAGAGACGAGUUCCCUUUGGAAUUGUUUUUUUUUUUUUUUUUAAUUUUUUAAUUUGGGAUUUUUUAAAUAAAAAAUAUAUUUUAAAGAAGAGACGAGUUCCUUUAGGAUUUUUUUUAAAUAAAAAAUAUAUUUAAAAAUUUUUUUUUUUCCCAUGGGAACUCGUCUCUUGAGUUCCCUUAGGAAAUUUUUUUUUUUAAAUAUAUAUAUUUAAAAAAAAAAAAUAUUUUUAAAAAAAAAAAAUUUUUUUUUACAUGGGAACUCGUCUCUUCAAGAGACGAGUUCCCUUUAGGAAUUUUGAGGAAUUGUUUUUUUUUUUUUUAAUAUAUAUAUUUUAAUUAGGAAUUUUUUUUUUAAAUAUAUAUAUUUUUUUAAAAAAAAUAUUUUUUUUUACAUGGGAACUCGUCUCUUGAAGAGACGAGUUCCCUUUGGAAUUGUUUUUUUUUUAUUUUUUUUUUAUUUUUUAUUUUUUUAUUUGGGAUUUUUUUAAAUAAAAAAUAUAUUUAAAAAAAAAAAUAUUUUUUUUCCCAAAGGGAACUCGUCUCUUCAAGAGACGAGUUCCCUUUGGAAUUGUUUUUUUUUUUUUUUUAUUUUUUAUUUUUUAUUUUUUAUUUGGGAUUUUUUUAAAUAAAAAAUAUAUUUAAAAAAAAAAAUAUUUUUUUCCCAAAGGGAACUCGUCUCUUCAAGAGACGAGUUCCCUUUGGAAUUGUUUUUUUUUUUUUUUUUUUUUAAAUUUGGGAUUUUUUUAAAUAAAAAAUAUAUUUUAAAAAAAAAAUAUUUUUUUUCCCAUGGGAACUCGUCUGAAGUAGGAAUUUUUUUUUAAAUAUAUAUAUUUUAAAAAAAAAUAUUUUUUUUUACAUGGGAACUCGUCUUUUUUUUUUUUUUUUUUUUUAAUUUAGGAUUUUUUUUAAAUAAAAAAUAUAUUUUAAAAAAAAUAUAUUUUUUUUCCCAUGGGAACUCAUCUCUUGAAGAGACGAGUUCCCUUUAGGAAUUUUUUUUUUAUGGGAUUAUUUUUAAAUAAAAAAUAUAUUUAAAAAAAAUAUAUAUUUUUUUUUCCCAGGGGAACUCGUCUCUUCAAGAGACGAGUUCCCUUUAGUUCCAAAUUGUUUUUUUUUUUUUUUUUAAUUUGGGAAUUUUUUAAAAAUAAAAAUAUUUUUUUAAAUGGAAACCCGCCCCUUGGAGAAAAGAGUUUCCUUGAAAAAUGGUUUUUUUUUUUUUUUUUAAUUUGAAAAUUUUUUAACAAUAAAUUAUAUAAUUUUUUCCAGGGAACCCCCCUCCUGAAAAGACAAGCUCCCCAAAGAAAAGGGGAAUUUUCUUAAAAAANNNNNNNNNNNNNNNNNNNNNNNNNNNNNNNNNNNNNNNNNNNNNNNNNNNNNNNNNNNNNNNNNNNNNNNNNNNNNNNNNNNNNNNNNNNNNNNNNNNNUUUUUUUCCCAUGGGGAACUCAUCUCUUGAAGAGACGAGUUCCCUUUAGGAAUUUUUUUUUUAUGGGAUUAUUUUUAAAUAAAAAAUAUAUUUAAAAAAAAUAUAUAUUUUUUUUCCCAUGGGAACUCGUCUCUUCAAGAGACGAGUUCCCUUUAGUUCCAAAUUGUUUUUUUUUUUUUUUUUAAUUUGUGAAUUUUUUAAAAAUAUAUAUAUUUUUUUUAAUGGGAACUCGUCUCUUGAAGAGACGAGUUUCCUUGAAGAAUUGUCUUUUUUUUUUUUUUUAAUUUGAGAAUUUUUUUACAAAUAUAUAUAUAUAUUUUUUCAUGGAACUCGUCUCCUGAAGAGACGAGUUCCCUUAAGUAAAUGGGAAAUUUUCUUAAAAAAAUAUAUAUAUUUUUUUUCAUGGAACUCGUCUCUUCAAGAGACGAGUUCCCUUUUUAAAAAAAAUUUAUCGAUUCACCCUUUCUCCUAUCUCCUCUCUCCUCUCUCUCACCUUCUCUCCUAUCUCCUUUCUCCUCUCUCCUAUGUGGCAAAAACUACCAUAUAUUUGUAAUAACUUCUUCUACUACAAUAAUUUAAGCAUAACUUUUUUAAAUUACUAUAUUAUUGAGAAAAGUCCCUGUUUCCAGUUUCCAACUAUGUCAUUAAAGGAAGGUUCAUGAUUUUUUUGGAACUUUAAAAUGAUAUGACAAACACAGCGUAGCAUUUUUCUUAAAAGGAAAUCCAUAUAAAACAAUUUAUAUUUCUAAUUACCAAAUUCUUCGUACCAAUAUUUAGAGUGUUUGAUAAUAAUUAUAAAAAAUAUUUAUACUUUUUUUAACACCAAAAUUUUUUUAUCUUUCACAUAUAAAAAAGUUAAAAAUACUUUCUAAAACUUUAAUACAUUCAUUUUCAUUUGAAGUGGGUAAUCGAGGCAAUGUUUGUCUUUUUCUUUUUGAAUUGUUGCUAUCUUUGAGUUAAUCCUUUGGAGCCUCAUUCUACAGUAUGAAGAGAAGAACAAGUAAAAGUGGUCCUCCAUCAGUAAGUUAUUAACAAUUACCCAAUGGCAAGGUGGGAAAUUUGAUAGGAUAAAAAAAAAAAUCCUUAAAUGGACAUUUCAUUCAUUUGAAUAACAUGGAAAUGAAAUCCCAUGAGUGAAAUUUUAAUUCUUCCUAAUUAGGGGUAUUUUAAUUCCAUAGUAUAACUUAUUUUUAAAAUUACUUUUCAAAAAUUAAAAAAUUAAAGACCUUUUUAGAUAAGUUAUUUUUAAAAUUAAUUUUUAUUUUGAUUUUGUAAAACAUACAAAUUUUAGAUUCAAUUUAUAUAAUAUAAAUUAAGGGUGCUUUUGACAAUGACUCUAGGAAGCCUUUUUUUUUUAAUCCUAAAAUGUGUUUUUGAAAAAAAAAUAAUUAGGUGUUUGACAAAUUUUAGGAAACACUUUUAAAAAUUUGAAGAGUGUGUUUGACAUUGAUUUUAUAAAAUAAUUUUUUUUUUUACAUUUUUAAUACUUGAAAAAUAAAAUUUUUAUAGUGUUAGAAAAAUUAAAAGUGCCUCUUAGAAUCACUACCAAAUGGGGUCGAAAAAUUACUUAUAAUGUUUUUUUAGACAAACACUUGAUAGAUGAUUAUCCUAAAAACACUUUUAAAGAAAAUACUUUCACUAAAAACAUUUCUGAGUAGUAACAUUAAUUGAUUUAUUUUGUUAAAAAUAAAUAAUAAUAAUUUCCAAUACUAUUUAUAUGAUUUUAUAAAUAUUAUAAAAAUAUGGAUAUUAACAUAUUAUAAAAGCAUAAUUAAUUUAUUUUGUUAAAAAUAAAGAAUAAUUAUUCAAAAUUAAUAAUUGCUAAUACUAUUCUAUUUUAAAUAAAUAUAAAAACAAACAAAAUUUAAAAUUUUAAGUUAUAAAUGAGCUAAAAUUUUCAAUAUGUAUGCAUUUAUUACUUAAUUAUGAAGAUGACAUUGUGAAUUAUUUUAUUUGAUCUAUAAUUAAUUAAUUAAUUAUUUAAAUUUUGAAUUAUUCUUAAAAAAUUAUAUAUAUGUUUUAAAUUCUUUAAUAAAUCUUAUCAUUUUUAAAAGCAAAGUAAAAUAAAGAAUUGUUCAAUACAAAGUCUUGUUUAAUUUGAAAUUCAUUGUUAGGAAAGAAAAAAAAAUUCAGAAGAACAGUUCUCUAUUUUACUUUGCUUUUAAAAAUUGUGUUUAAAGAACAACAACCAUAUAGUGAUAUAAAUUUUUAAAAACAAUUUUGUUUUUAAAUCACACGACCAAAUAGGAUUUUAUUACCGGGACCCCAGAUCUUUCUGUUCUCAUACCUUGGAUCGUAUAGGUGCAUGUAAACUACUCUAUGCCUUUAGAUCUUAUGUAAUGGAAGCAAAAAAUAAAAUUUUAAUAUUCUAAGAUAUAAAGAAAAGUCAUUAGAAAACUUUACCUUUAAUUUAAACGUUUUCAAAUCAAUUUCGCUCAAUGAAGUUGAAGCUUGAACAGUUCGAAGGUCUCGUACACCCAAGAUUUUCCUCUCAAUGACUCGAAUUACGAUCUUAACACUCCAAAGUGUAGGCUUUGGGAGGGAGGAAUCCUAGGCUCUUUAUCUUUAGAGGUAGAAGACGACUAUCUUUCAAAGUGAUGAAAACCCUAACUCCUAGGGGGUAUUUAUAGAGUUUCCUUAUUAGGCUUAAGUGACUUGAGCCUACCAAGGCUUAAGUGACUUGAGCCUACCAAAGCUUAAGUCAUUUAAUUUAGUCUAAAAUGGGUCCUAAUUAAUUAAUUAACUAUAUAUGUCUAUUUAAUUAAUUAAUUCGCACAUUUUAAAGAACUUGUUUGCUAUUCCCUAUGCAACCUUGCAUAAUUAUCAAAAUGCUCUUAUGCACAAAAGUGAAUUGAGAGUCAAUCCAAACCUCAUAAACCGUACCACCAUGAUAUAUGAGCUCAGAGUGGGGAUUAUUGGGACCAAUAGGAGUAUUGAUUUCCUCAAAAUCCAAAUAUGAAGUUGAUUCAAUAUUCCAUUAAAGAGAAUCAACCGCACUUUUAGUACCUUAUAUAAAUAUUAACGAGACAAAACUCAGGCUUGUGACUUACUAUCCACUGUAUGUAAACUUCUCAUGAACUGAUGUUUGUAAUUUAAUAAGGUAGUAUUAUUAUCUAUCAAGAUUGCCUCUAUAAUCCUUGAGUUAUAGAUCUCAUUUAUCAUGUAAUCAAUUGACAUACUCUAACUCUAAGAAGUAUAUGUAAUGCCCUAAACCCAAGAGUAAAAUCAUAAUUUAAAAUAAUAAAUAAUUUAAUAAGGGUAAAAAUGUCUUUUCUUAUUUAAAAUUCCUACGUAUAAAUUAAAUAUUUUUUAUAUUCUCUACUCAAAAAAUCCUUUUACAUGUAGAUAGAAAAUAUCAAAGAGCGUAGGGUUUGAAUAUCAAUUUUUCAGGUAAGAUUUUAAUUCUUAAAUUAAUAUUUUAUAUUUGUUAAUUAGUUUUAAACACUUUAGAUAUCUUUUUGGAAGAUCUCAAUCUAGAUUAUGGUUUGUUAAAUUAAUUUUUAGAUCAAAAGACUGAAAAUUUAUGAAUGUGGAUUAAUUUAUGAUGAAAAUAUGAAAAUUUAGAAAAUUUUAAUUGAAUAGAAAAAAAUGAAUAAAAAAUCAAUGGAAGAAAAAAAAUUUUAAAAUUUUAAAAUAAAUAAAUAAAUUGUUUGUGGAGGCUUUAGAUUGGAAAAAAAGAAAAGAAAAGAAAAUGUGUAGAUAUAUUUACCAUGUGAAAAAAAUAAUAAAAUAAAUAAAUAAAUAUAAUGGGAGGCGUGUAGGUGGUUUUGUAGAAUGUUGUGGGAUUAAAAAAAUAAAAUAAAAUGAAAUUGGAGGACACCUGUGUUGCCAAAGUGUUGAGUUCACUAUAAGAAAAAAGGGUAAUAAUGACGCUUUUUAGGCGUCAAUAAAUGUAUACGAUGACGCUUCUCGAAAGCGUCCUUUUCGCCUCUGUCAAGGAAUGGGUGCAGGCAACCAUGUCGCUUCUAGACAGCGUCAUUGUUGAUUGGUUUAUAUUAACACGUUAAAAAACGUCAUUAUUGAUCUACCUAUGUUAACACUUACACUAGCGCCAAGGAAUGGCCAAAAUAUCAUUUGUCUAUUUCGACGCUAAAAAAAGUGUCAUCUUAUGUGGAUAAUAAUAUUGAAAAUCCCCUUGUUGAAAUGAUAUAUUUUGUAUGUCCUGUUAUAUAUAAUUUUGGCUGCAUGAUUAUUUAUAAAGUAUUAAACAAUAACUUCAAUAUUAAUAACUACAUCUUCCAAAAGAAAUUGAAUAAAUUUGGGAAUAAUAUAAUGAUAAAGAACUAAUGUCUACAUAGUUAAUUAAUACGCAAAUUUGUAAAUGUAUCAAAAUAUUUACAAGCAUAUUUUCCAACUUCAACAUAUAUAAAACAAGUACACAUGUACCAAAAAGCAAGGUCUCCAAAUUCCUUAUCAAAAAUAAUAUUACAAGAAGAAGAAGAAGAAGCCAAAAGUAUUUAUAGCCAAAAGUAUUUUUGUUUGGUAGCAUAUCCACUCCUGAACUUGAAAUCUUUUACCUGUAUACAUUUAAAAAAAAAAUAAUAGAAGAAACAAAUUAUGUUUAGUUAAUAUACAUGCAAUGAAAGUUAAAUCUAAAUCUAUAAAUGGUCCAUGAAAGAAGUGCAAAUGAGAAUAACUUGGUAUUUAAUGAGAUGUUAUGCUUCAAUGAAGAUGAAAAAUUGUUUAAUUUGAUACUUGUUUAUAAAAUAUUAAAAUACUUUUUUAGUUCAUUAUUAAGUUAGAGGAAACAAGUUAGGCUUUCAAUGGUAUAAAUUCUACAAUAUGGAAUGUAAUAUAAUAUUUUCUUAUCUAUGUCUAACAUAUCAAACUCAUUUCUCAGAAAUAAAUAUAUGAAUAUACCAAUAGGUAUGGUUUAUAAUUAGUUUCAAUCAUAAAUCAUCAUAUCUAGUAAUAUAAGACAUUUAAUAUUAACCAUUUGCAAAUGCCUUAAUUUCUUCUUACAACUUUCCUAUAUUACCAAAUUUAGUUAACUAAUAACAUUCCAUAAGGAAAAAAAGAGUAUUAAACUAAAAAUUAAAAGAGCAUAACCAAGGCAAUAGAAACCUACAAAUCAUUGGUUAAAUGUCAUAAUAACAACCAUUCUAAAACUUGCCUUUAUUUUCAAUUCCAAAAUUAUAACCCAAAUAUAAUAAUUAACCCUACACAAAAAAAAGCUCUCUACCAUCCCUCCAUCCAACAACAACCUGUUGAUGCAACAACAAUAACUUCUCCAUACAACAAUAACAAUUUCUCCAUGUAACAACAACAACAACAACAAUAACAAUAACAAUAACAAUAACAUUGAUGAUCAAUGGUGAUAAUUAUAUUAGUAAUAAUUUGAUUUGUUUAGUCCAAACAUAUAACAAUAACAACUUCUCUAUGCAACAACAACAAUAAUAAUGACAACAUUGAUGAUCAUGAUAUAAUAAUUUGAUUUAUUGAGUUCACAAAUUAUAUGCUUCUUCUCCAUACAACAAUAACAAAAAUAACUUCUCCAUGUAACAACAUUGGUGAUGAUGUAAUAAUUUGAUUUGUUAUAUUGAAAUAGUUUAUGUAUAAAACUAUUAUAUUCUAUCACUAUGGAGGAAAAAAUUACUUAUCAUGAGAUGAGAACUUAUGAGAAUCGUCAAAAUGUGAUCUACAACUCUUACUGGACUGAAAUGAGGGCAUCUGCAUACAUAAGAUGGUAAAUUAAAAAAAUUAGUCCAUUCAAGACUUCAUUAAUAAUGAAAAUCAAGCAUUUUAGAUGUUAAUUUAUACCUUCAGGCAUGGGUAAGAAUCAAUUGAGUUGCCAACAUAACCCACUCAGAUCGUACUUCAUUAAGCUCAACUUCACUAUACGAUUUUUUCCCUUUAAACUAAUAAUUAAUUGUACAUACAUGAUGAUUAGUUAAGUUAACAAAAAAUUACUAAAGUAUAGAAACUAAUAAAAUUUAUUAAUGAGUAUAUACAUUUGUGGAUAGGAGGCUUGGAUCAACAAUUAUAUCUUUCAUGUAUCUCAUCACAUAAUAACCACACUCCACACUUCCUAGUUGUCCUGGGCACUAUAGGCACACAUAUGAAUUAUNNNNNNNNNNNNNNNNNNNNNNNNNNNNNNNNNNNNNNNNNNNNNNNNNNNNNNNNNNNNNNNNNNNNNNNNNNNNNNNNNNNNNNNNNNNNNNNNNNNNUAUCUUACUCUAACCAAAUUAACUUACCACUACUUUUACCCAUGUCGGCUCCCUCUUUGAUGAUCUUUGUUUCUCUGGUGGAUGAAUUCGUAGUGCCCUACAUGGAAAAGAAAAUUAACAUUUUAGAUACUAUGCACUAUAUUCAAGUAUGGAAAUGAAGACACUUACAUGUUAACAAUUUCCUUAAGAUCAUCACAUGGUUGCUUUUGCAUCGGAUCAAGGUAGUACGCAGUCAUUGUCCUCAUAUCCAAUGCCACCAAGACCCAGUGGAAACUAUAAUAGUACAUUAGAUAUUAUUUAGUAAUUAGCAUUGAUUAAGCUAUUUAACAUUAAAAAAAAACUUAAUAUUUUUCAUAACUUACUCAGGGUUAUAUGGAAUAAAAAUGUAGUCAGCACGCUUUGCAUGCAUUAAACGAUUUGCAAUCAACCUUGACCUAUUUUCCUUUGUUGUCUCACCCAUUCCAGCUUUAGAGACUAAAGCUGGAUUGAUAAAAGCAAAUCGUUCGGUGAGCCUUGCAUUACUUAGCUUUUUCUGUAGGUGCCUGUUUAAAUUCCACAUACCUUGAUAAGAAAUGACCAUUUUACUUUUAUAUAUAUAUAAAUUAACACACAUUAGCAAGUUAUAAAAUUAUUUACCAUAUAUAAUAUAUGACACAAUUAGCCGACACUUUCUUAAAUGAAAUUAUCAUAUCCAUGUCUUCUUUCAUAAGGAAGGUCUUAAAACUCUCGCCAAAUACAUCAUUUGGGACCUCCACACCUUGUGCUUUCCCCUCAUUUAGCAUGAGACCUACUAAUGCAUCAAAAUUGUUGAUAUCUUGAGGGUUUUCACCAAUUUUCAAGUCAUUUUCUGUUGUUUUUUGUCUUUUCCCUUUGUGAGAUCCCUAUAAAAGAAAGCACCAUGUUUUCAAAUGAUAUACAUAUCUUUAUAAACUAUUUCAAAUGAAAAUAACACACCUUAAUGAAUUUAGUACUCAAAUUGACUAAAUGGGUUGGCCAUAAAACUUGGUAGCCCACUACCGCUCCAAUUGUUGUAGCUUGUCCAGGAAUGGGAAUAGGAAGUGGUGUAUUUGACUUAUAGGGAGCAUCCAAAACAACUAGGUAGUUGGGCCCACAAUCCAUUACAAUUAUUCCACCAGCCACUGUAUUUUCUCUGGUCCCUACUGCUAACUCACAUUUUCUUGCCUUCAAAAGUAAAUUAAAUUGUUAAUUUCAAUAUAAAAAAGAAUCAAUAAAUGAAGUUUAAAGUGCAUUGACUAUGUUAGGGCUAUAUUUAAGACAUAAAGUUACAUAUUUUAUAAGUAAUAGUUGUAGUGGAAUAGAAUAUUACUAGUAGUAAUUAUGCUGUAAUAGAAUCUACCUAAAAUGUAAGUAUCAAUCUAACAAAAAUAAAAGCAAUUGGAAGAAAUUAUUUAUGAAAAUUAUCUAGGAAUUUGUGACAAUUACGUCAUUGAACUAGGAAAUGUAAACUAAAAAUAACACACCUUCAUGUGUGGUUCUAUUUUCACAGGUAAGGUCUCCUCUUCAACUUUACGAAUUGGUUUCUCCACUACUUCUGGUAGAAGCAACAGUUUUGAUUUCAUGUUGGAACUACUCACAUCGGAUUGUGGUGUAGCAACUCCUAUCUGAGAUAGUCUCGCUAACACAUCAGCCUCAAACUUAACUUGACGUUCUUGAGUUGCUUUUAAAAUAUCCCUCACAACACGUUCUGACAUACUAUUGAAAUAUCAUCCAGGCGUGUAGUGCUUCCCUUUAGCUCGAACCCAACCAGUAUACUCAGGAGUACCUAGUGCUUGAGAAAGUAUGUCAUUGCUCCCACUAUAGCUUAUGCCACUCUCUUGAGACUCUUUUAUCAAUUCAUCCUAAAACAAAAGGAAGUUAUGAAGUUAACUUUCAAAUAAGUAAAACCAAAUAAGGUGUUUAAAGAUGUGAUUUUUGGGUACAAAAUGUCUACUUACUAUUUUUUCCAUUACCGGUAGGACCACAUCAUCAUAGUUGCCAUCUUUUUUUUGCAUUGCCCUCUUCCAAAGUAAACUUCUAUCAAUGCUUUCUAUGGAGCCAGCUUCAAUCAUCUAAUAGAAAUGGAAAAUUAAAGAUAGUUAUUAGAUGACACAUGUGGUUUUAUUUCUAUUUUUUUGUCAGAAAAGAAACAAUUAAGAAACCCAUAUAAAAUAUUCCUUCAUUACUUAUACAAUCAUAUAAAAUUAAACCACAAUAAGAACUAACAAAAACUUACCAUCUCUUCUUCAAGUCCAGCAUACCCUUUUCUACUUAGAUGAUGAUUAUAUAUAUGCUUCUUUCUUCUCUGUUUUUGUACUUCCCUAUAUUCCUAAAAAUUAAAAUGGAUGCUUAGUAUAUAUAUGUGGAUGCAUGUAGUAUGUUUAAUGUUAAUUGUAUUUGUACCUGGAAUUUUUCAGACAACCUAGUUUUCACAAAAAUAUUCCAAUCUUCAUCAUCGAUAAAAUGAUAUUCAGCUGGUGGUUUCUUAAGAAGCUCUGGCUGAUCUUUGAAAGGAAGAAUAUGUUUCACAGUCAACGUGUUCUUAAAAGAUCGAAAACAUUUUCCCAAUGUAAGCAUACAAUUCCUUCUACUUUUCUUGUCUAAUGUAAAAGCAAUCUACAAAUUAUAAAGUCAUUAGUUUCUCAAAAUUUGAAAGAAAUAUAGAGAUUGUAGAAAACUUAUUUAUGUUAAAAAAAAAAGUAACCUCAAUAGAGUCCCACAACUUAUCCUUCAAUUGUUCAGGGACAUCUCGCCAUGUGUUAUAUCUGAUUGGUACCAUCGUACGUGCCAAUACACCUAAGUAGCUUGUUAGGUGCACAGAAGAUUCUCCUACAUAGAUACCAUCAACAUUGUACUUUAUGACCAACUUUAUCCCUCUAUUCCUAUUCCUUAUAAUCAUGGAUUUCCUUGUUGUCCCUCUAUAUUUUUUUUGUGAAGGGGUUUUCUCUUCCUUUGAAUCCAUGCCUAUAACACAUCAAUGAGAAAUGAUAAGUAUACCCAUUAAUUGCAAGUAAAAUUGAAUUUUUUAUAACAUGAACUCAUAUUAGUAACAUGAACAUACUAGGAACAUUUUACAUGCUAGAUAACAAUAUUCACAUGUUGUCAUGAAAUAUUUAAAAAUAAUAAUAAUAAAAACUUACUAGAAGAUCCUCACCAAACUUUUUUCUUAUGGAACUAGAAAUCAUAAGCUUUGAGCUGAGACAAAUUGAUAUCCUUGUAUUACCCUUUAGAUCACUCUGAGAUAUGUGUAUAAUAAUAAUCAUGAAAUAGGGAAUCAAUAAAUUUAGAGACAUGAUGAAUUUAAUCCACUUAGAAAAUAAAUAAGCUAUUUACUGAAAUGCAGAAUUUCAAUAUUAACAAGUUAAUGGGAUAGUUACAACCUUCAUAACAAAACAACAAGGUCAUAAAUUUAGUUACAUAGAAGAUUUGUUAUCAAUCCAGAAUCCCUCACAGUCUCCUCGAAUGCAAAUGACAUCAGAGUCAUCCAUUGUAUCAAAUGAUUCAACUUGUGCCAAGGUGGUAAUGAGAGGAUGGUGUUCAAUAGAAUUAUCCAUGAAGUCAUCAGAAUCCUUUGCUGAAAAUGAGAAGUCCCUUUCAGGAGUUGACAAAACAACUGACCAUCUUGGAUCAAGUUGGUUUUGUACAUAGAAUACUUGCUUGGCUUGGGAGGCUAAAAUAAAUGGAUCUGAUUUAUGAGCCAUCUUAGUGAAGUCAACUAAUGUCAGCCCAAACUCAUCAACUUUGAUGCCGCUCUUAUUAUCAACCCAAUUACAUUUGAAAACUGGAAUCCUAAACAUGGUAUAAUCAAGAUCCCAUAUCUCAGUAAUAAUACCAUAGAAACAUAGCUCACUAAAUACUGGAUUCUUAUCCUUGGCACUAGAAAUUUGCAUUGUUGUUGCUACAAUGCUAACUCCACUAUUCUGGGUAACUCGUAACUCAUCACGGUCUUUUGUGUUGUACUGACACCCAUUUAUAACAUAGCCAUGAUACUUGGCCACGUAGUGGGUAGGACCAUGUGCCAUCCAUCUUAAGGUUUCAGAUAUAGGUUCUUUGUCAGCAAUGACAACUUCUACCUGUUUGAAUGGACCAUAGUUAUUAAUAUUUUUUAUGAUAAGUGCUAAGAAUGGUGCAAUUUUUAGAAUAAAUUCAAUACCUUUUUUCGCAACCAAUGAGUGAAUGUUCGCAUGUGUUCUUCUUGUAGCCACUUUUGUCUCUUAGAUUGACGAGGAUUGUUCAAUUUCAACCAUUUCAUGUGUUCUCUAUAAGAUAUGUAUAAGAAAGUAACAAUAAGUUUCCAAAAUUAGUUUAAGUAAUCUACACAUAAAAUCAAAAUAGUUGACCCUUACUCGAUAUAAGGUUGGAUGAUAGUUGUAUUUUCCAACACAUAAUGAUGUGCUUGCAACAAAAAAUUACAAUCAACUUCGGUGAUAUGACCUCCAGGAAUAGGCGCCCCAACUUUAUGGUCAACAUUAGUGCUACUAGGAACUCCAAUUGCAUCCACAUUUGAUAAGUACUCUGUACAAAAUUCAAUAGCUUCCUCUGCAAUGUAGCAUUCAACAAUGCAACCUUCAGGGUGGUUACGGUUUCACACAUAACCCUUUAAUACUUUCAUGAACCUUUCAAAUGGGUACAUCCAUCUAAAAUAAACCGGUCCACAAAGUCUCACCUCUCUAACAAGAUGAACCGUUAAAUGAAUCAUGAUAUCAAAGAAGGAUGGCGGAAAGUACUUUUCAAGCAAGCGCAAUGUCACAACAAGUUCAUUUUGUAACUUAUCCAAUGUAGACACAUCAACCACCUUCUUACAUAAAGCAUUGAAAAAAAGGCUCAAUCUAGCAAUAGCAUGUCGUACAUGCUUUGGCAAAAGUGAUCGCAAUGCCACUGGUAACAAUUGUUGCAUCAGUGUAUGAUAAUCAUGAGACUUCAGGCCAUAAAGGUUCAAAUCUUCCAUUGACACAAGAUUUCUAAAGUUUGAGCAAUACCCUUCAGGAACCUUUAACUCAGCUAAAGUUUGACAAAAUACUUUCUUCUCCUUUCUAGACAAUGUAUAACAUGCAAGCGGAAGGUAAGUUCGAUUCGAUUCAAACCUUAGUGCCAGUUUACACCUUAAGCCCAUGUCCAUAAGGUCCAGACGAGAAUUGAGUCCAUCUUUUGUCUUCCCUGGGAUGUUAAGUAAUGUACCAAUGAUGCUUUCACAAAUAUUUUUCUCAAUGUGCAUUACAUCCAAAUUAUGACGAACAUGCAAAUAUCUCCAAUACUCAAGUUCAAAGAAUAUAGACUUUUUCUUCCAACAAUUGGUAUAAGUCACAUUGGAUUUUUCAUGUCUUCCCCUUUUUUUCCCCCAUGAAUUACAAAUGACAUUCAUUUUCAAUAGUAUUUCCUCUCCACUUAAUGGUUGUGGAGGUGAUCGAAACUCCUGCUCACCAUUGAAUGCCUUUCUAUGUUUUCUAAAAGGAUGAUUGCAUGGAAGAAAACGUCUGUGGCCUGUAAAUGAGUUCUUUCUCCCAUGCUUUAACCUAUGUGAAUAGGUUUCCGGUCCAUAUAUUGGACAAGCAAAAUAUCCUUUGACUAUGCAACCAGAUAAGUUUCCAUAUGCAGGAAAGUCAUUUAUUAUCCAUAAUAGAACAACCCUUAAUGUAAAGACCCCUCUUUGAUAUGCAUCAUAAGCUUCUACCCCUAUCUCCCACAAGGUUUUAAGGUCCUCAAUCAAUGGUGCUAAAUAGAUAUCUAUGUCAUUUCCAGGUUGUUGUGGACCCGAUAUUAACAAAGAUAACAUCAUAAAUUUUCUCUUCAUGUACAACCACGGUGGAAGGUUAUAAGUGAUCAUGACAACUAGCCAACAACUAUACCUGCUGCUCAAAGAACUAUGGGGAUUUAUGCCAUCUGCUGAAAUGACAAGUCUAAGGUUUCUAGGUUCUGCAGCAAAAUCAGGCCAUCUAUGGUCAAUUACCUUCCAUGACGGCGAGUCGGAUGGAUGACGCAUUUUUCCAUCAAAUUCUCCACCUUCUGCAUGCCAUAUGAGGUCUUUUGCAAUUUUUGAGGACCGAAACAUUCUUUUAAAUCGUGGGAUAGGUGGAAAAUACCACAUUACUUUAGCAGGAACUCCUUUACUCUUUUUGCUUCCUCUUCUAUUCACCUUCCACCUUGAAGCUCCACAUGUAGGACAUGAAGAUGCAUCUUUUAACUCAUUCCUAAAAAGUAUGCAAUCAUUGGGACAUGCAUGUAUUUUUUCAUAUUCCAUUUCCAAUGCAUUCAAUGUUUUUUUUGCUUCAUACAUAGACAAUGGCAACUCAUUGUUUACAGGCAACAUAUCACCAAGUAAGCUUAAUAGCUCGGAGAAGCUUUUAUCAGACCACCCAUAUCUUCUUUUCAGAUUGUAUAAUUUAACUAAAGUAGAUAAUUUGGUGAAGUUUUUGCAAUCGAGAUACAAAGGUUUUUCAGCAUCUUCAAGCAACCUUUCAAAUAAUUUUGGAUUAGCCUUACAAUCAUCUUAUGCAGCUUCAACCAUUUCUACUGUAUGAUCCACAUUACCAAUAUGAAUUCUAUCAAAACAUUCAACCCUUGUAGUUAGGGGUCCACUACUUAGAGCUGCCUCCCCAUGCCAAAACCAAGUAUGGUAACUUUGGUCAAUUCCAUAAAAGAAUAGGUGUUCUCUAAUCUUUUGAGGAGUAUUGAAGAUCAAAUUUCCACACUAUAGACAUGGGCAUUUGAUGGAGUUUUGAUUUGCAGAAUUUUGAACUGCAAAUGAAAUGAAAUUUUCAACCCCAUCCUCAUAGUCUUUUGAUCUUCUAUCUUUUGACAUCCAGGAACGAUUCAUUUGCCUAUAAUAGUUGAACACAAUUCCUAUAUAGCAAACAUAAGCAAACAAUGGAAAUGGAAAAGACUUAGAAAGUUACCUUUAGAAAACACUCAAAACUUUCAGUUUCUCAUUUGUGACAUCCAAAAUUUCUUUUAAACUUUCUAUGGACAAACAAUUAGGAUUCAAGUGCAAUAAAAAAUUUGAACCUCAUCCUUAAUAAAAAAAAUGAUUAACAAUAUGACAAUAGAACCUUUUGAUGCAUGUUUUUAUGCCUUUUAACAUGUCCAUCAUCCAAAAUCAGGUAGUUGUUCCUAUCCCAUGUAGGAAUACAUAAUCCCUAUGUGUUAAUUGCCAAUAUACUCAAUUUCAUUUUAAAGAAAUUUUGGCAGCAUUUCCCCAUAGUUCUCCAAGUACACAAAAUGAACAAGGUAUAAUAUGUGACCUUGUUCAAAUAUGCACCCAAAGAACAAGAGGAAAUACUACCAAAAUUUCUAAAAAGUGAAUUAAGCACAAGCAAUUAACUUCAUAGAUAUUAUGUUUUCCUACACUGUCCAAUCGGACAAUUCAAACAUCAUUGCAAAAAAAAUAUCUUUAUCACAUUCUAGACAAUUUAAAAGUUGUCAACUUGAAAGUGGCUUAGGUAAAACCUUUUUCACCUUUGACAACUUAAAUGUCUUUAGUAUGUAAUAAGAGAAACUUUUAUCUUACAAUGAUAGUUGAAUGGGAACUCUAAGGUUUCAUGCAUGCAUGUUUGAUUAAAAUUAAAACACAAUUACUUAUUGAAUAAUCUAAUAAUUAUAAAACACCUAAAGUUGUUCCAUAAUUAUUGCUAUAUUUCAUCAUUAAACAAGAUUAUUAUGAGAAAGCAUACGUAUGGCCCAUGAUUUGCGAAUCAAGUCACACCAGUCUAUGUCAUAGCCUUGGGUCAAAAUUUGGGCCUUGGUAUCAAACUAAGCUAGGGAAUAACUCGUACAAUUCAGGUACUCAAUAAGAUUUAAACAAAAUUUAAAAUAACGCUUCCAUUAUAUUCUUUUGACCACCCAAAGUAAAAAUGGUAUUAUGAUUAAAAUAUGUUGGUUUGUAUAAGGAAAAAUAGUGUACCUUCCUCACUCUGUCUUUGUCUCAAGUCUUGCAUCACACACCUCUCGUAGUCCAAUGUAGGUCACUGUCUCUUAAAAUAUGUAUAUGCAAAACAAAUAAUAAAUAAAGAUAUAAAAUAAAUCCAUUAGUAGAUAUUAACAAAUAAAUACAAAAUAAAUUAAAAUAAGAAAUAAACUAAGAAGAAAAAACAUAUAAGUAAGAAAAAAAAGAUUUUCACAUGUGCAACAAUGGUUAGAUAUUUUUAAAAAUUUAUAAAAUUAUUAAAAUCAAACUAUUUUAGUUAUUAUUUUUUUAAAAUGGUAAUUAAUACUCAUAUAAAAUAAAAUAUAUGCAUGAUGAGAAAGGUAAGAAGAUUAUUCCUUGUGCCCUUUUUCAUUUGAGAUUAUGACUUUUGGUGAUGACCUAAUGGUGGGUGAACCGUGAACCACACUAUCUGACCCGGGUCAAGUCCUUAGGGCAAGAAAGAUGACUGCAAGAUGGGUAGAACUUAAACGAAUGAGAUAGAAAAGUCUGGUCUAAAUUAAGGUGGCUUAACAAUCCGUAAUCAUCUUGGUUAGGUUGUAUCAUAUUGUGAAAGAGAAGUUACAGGCUAGGUCUUCAGCAUCCAGCAAUUCCACCCUUUGAUUUUUCCAACAUGUUGCACCAUCUAAUAAUAAUACCUAUGAUCCUAUACCUUAGUUUUGAUUCCUUAUGUAUACAAAGUAUAUAUGGUUACACUACAUUAAAGUUAUUUUUUUUCUCUAAAAAGUAAUUAGUGUAAAUUUUAAAAGUAGGCUAAUAUUCAUUUUUUUUUUCACUUCUUAUUUUUUGUUUUGAAAAUAGAAAAUAGUAACAACUCUUAUACAAAAUAUUUUACUAUUUUUUGUUUUUAAAAUAGAAAGUUAGAAAUUGCAUUUUAAAAGCAAUAUUCUAUUUCAAUCCACACAAAUGAUACAAGUUUUGAAAUAUUCCAUUACCAUAUUUUGAGUAAUAUUUUUAAAGGGUUAAUUUAAUUCAUUUCCCCUCAAGAUUUGACUAAAUAUAAUGGCACCCGAUAAUAUGAAAUUUGAAGAAGUCCAUAUACUCUUCAAGUCUAUAAUUAGAAGUUCCUAGUAAGUUGUCACCCAUACUAAUGAAAUUUCUUGAGUCAACAUUAAUCUCGAACCUUUUUGCUACCUUCAUUACCUAUUUUGCCCCUUUACCACCUACUUAGUCCUCUUUACUUUGACCAUGUGUGUUUCUCUUACUUGCCCCUCUACUUUUAUGAAAGAAGCAUAUAGAAGAAGCCCAUUCAAGUUUUUAAUUUUUCUUUGUUUGGAUCAUUCCUUGAAACCUUCUAAAAUUUCCCUUGUACUUAGCCUCAACAUUACAGGUCCAAUAAAACUCUUAUAAAUAAAAUUAAAAGUGUAAUAAAUAUUAUAAAAUUAUUUUAUUAAAAAAAUUAAUAUAUAUAUAUAUAUUGUAAUUAUUAAAUUAUAUAAAAUCUUAUUCAAUAAUAAUAUUGUGAUAUUUAAUUAUAAUAUGUUUAAUUUUAAAAUAUAUUUAAUAUUAAAAUUAUGAUAUAUUUAAUUAAUAUAUUAGUGAUAUUAAAAACUUUUUACAAUUUAAUUAAAUAAAAAAAUUAUUUACAUAUAAAAUAAUUAUAAUUAAUUUGUUGUUUAAAGGAUUAUUUUAAUAUUUUGUGUAUAUAAAAACUUUUAAUAUAUAUAUAUAUAUAUAUAUAUAUAUAUAUAUAUAUAUAUAUAUAUAAUCAUAAGGGUUUUGAUUUCAACAAGGUAUAUUUUAUUAAGUAAAGAAAGAAGGGCAGCUUCCUUGAACUUUCAAUCCCAACUUGCAGAUUUUACACCUUCGGCAUCACAGGUAUAUUGAGGAGGACAAGGAAAAGUGCCAUCAACGUAUCCUAAGAGGUCGUUGCUAAUUAAAACAGGGAGGAAUUUAUCUUUCCAGAGAAGAUAGUUGGUGGAAUCAAGUUUGAUUGGUAAUAUUCGGUGCAGCAAGUAGAGUGGAAGAAGGCAGUGAAUUCGAAAUAAAAACUGAUAAGAAUGUGACAAAGAAGAAGGAAGAACAAAAGGAUAUGAUGGUGUAGAAAAAUAAGAAGAAGAAAAGAAUAGGGUGAAGGAAUUUAUUUGAGGAGAAUAGGAGAUGACAAAGUUGAUACCUGAGUCAAGAAGGGAGGAAGAGCAGUGGUGGAGAUGACAGAUGGAGGUCCGGCAAGAGUGCUAGGAGGCAAGGACUUAAAAACCUGGGUCAACGACGAUGCCGCUAAGGACGAAACUUGGCUGGGAAUAUCAAUAUGUGCAGCAGACAACAGAAUAGAUGAUGUUUCAAUGGAUGAGGAAAUUUCAGCAGUGGAAGAUGGUGUCGCAGCCAUGGCAGAGGAGAUUAAGAGAGGAUGCAGCAGGAAAGAAAUUGCUAGAACAAUGACAGCGGCAGGUUUAGAAUCCUUUCAACACACCAAAUUUAGAGUCAGACUUGACAGCCUUUCAAAGACGCGGAGGCAUAGAAUAUUCUUGAUUAAAAUAUGUGAGAUCAUAAGCACCAAGGAAAUCAACGACCCCACCACAGCUAUUGCCACUCUCCGCCUCUUCUUCCACGACUGCAUGGUCGAAGGCUACGACACCUCAGUCCUCAUCUUCUCCAACUCCUUCAACACCGCCCAGCACGACGCCGACAUCAACCUCUCCCUCCCAGGCAAUACUGUAUCAAUACAUCCAGAUUGUACGAGUCUUGCCUCUCUAGUCAUCAGUCAUCAUUCAUGACUUUGUAGGAGGGAUGAGGUAGACCAAACAAAGCCUUCGGAUGGGCUCAAAUCUAGCCACAUCCAAGUUCCAAAUUCCUAUCCCCUAAAGUAAAAUUUAAAUUAUUAUUAUUAUUUACAUUCUGUAGAAGUUUCUUCUUUAAAUGAAUUUUAUUUUUGAGAAAACUUGCUAUGGAAAGUCUGCAUCUUGAUUUCAACCGAGACAAACCCAUAUCUUUUGGACCUGGUGCCUCUCCCAAUCCUUGACUGCCCAACAACUAAAAUUCAAACCCAAGCCCACCAAAGAAAAUUUUAAAACACGUCAUGCCUUUGCCAGUUGUUCCCCUCUCAAUACCAUUUAAAAAUCCCCCAUUCUGUAGCUUUCUCAACUGCUGCAGUCGAACCUGUCUUCUCCUUGGUGUACGAACACGACACGUCCAUACCUACAGGCGGUAGAGGCUACACCUCCUUUCCCACGCCCUUGUGCUGGUGCGUGAGCCACCCACCACAUUACCCUCAAGCUCCAUCCCGAUCACCAUGCUGGCUACUACAUCUCCAUGGCAUUACACUAGGCAAAAACAAGGCGACACUUCCCACCACAACUAAAAGGAGAAGCUGAAAUUAUACCUAUUACAACUUGCAGCGUACCAUACAACAACAAGAACAAAAAAUGCACUGUAUUUAUUUGGGAUACCAUUACCCUGAUUUUCUCCUCCCAAAAUAAUUUCCCCAUCUAUGAAACAAUAAUAUUAGAUUUUUGGAACAAUGAAAACCCUUCCAUUUGUCUUCAUUUGUACUAAUCUAUUCAAGUUUGAGGAAAACAACAUUACUUGAGAAAGAGAUUUACCUGUAACUAUGAUGCUCUGUAGUAGAUUUUGACAAUGGUAACCUCCCAUGCAUGGAAGUUAGACAUGGCCAUUCCAACGGAUUAGGGCAUUUUAGUGGUGGACUUAGUGAGAGCUAUAGGGUUUCGGGGUUUCUUCAGUUCUGAAAUUGUGGAGGGAAUGUCUGGCGGGUACUUGUAGAAAGGGAAAAACAUUUAAUUAAUAUAUAUAUAUAUAUACUAUUAUUUAAUGUCACCUAAUAUAAGUGCCAUGAAAUAUCACAACUAUGACACUGCUAUAAAGUGUCAUGGAAUAACCAGUUAUUCUUAUAAGUGCCACAACAAGCAAUGAUACUUUAAAUAAGCGCCAUGAAAUAAAAAAGCUAAUAUAAAAAAUGACCCUUUUGAAAAAACGCCAUUGUAUAUCCAAAUAUAAUGAUACUUUAUGAAAGCGCCAAUGAUUAAAGCGUCAUAAUUUUCUAUUUUUGUAGUAGUGGUUAGACAUUGGAAAAUAUUGUAUAUAUAAAUAUAUUAUUAUAAUAAUAAAAAUGAGAAGAAACAUGAGGAUUACUAUUUUAGUCUUAGGACUUUUGUGUGUAAUGAAGAUAGGAGGGUAAUGAGUUGGUUAUGCAUUGAAUUUGAAAAUUAAUAAAAAUAAUAAUAUUUAGUUUUAAGCUAACAAAGGAAAUAUUAGCAAUAAUAACAGUUUAGUGCAAUAAAUACAAAAACAAUAUAUUUUUGAGAAAUGUAGUUUAAAAAUAAUAACAAUAAAUUAAUGGAAUUUGGAGGAUAAAUUUUGGAAAGAACCCAAUUUUUAGAAGAAUUUAAAAAAUCACAUGUUAAAUUAUUAUUGAUUAAGAAGUUAAAAAUAAUAGGUGACAUAAUAUAGAAAAUUUCAAUCCCAUCCUACUUAUUUAAAAUAAUUAUCAUCCUCGUGCUAGUAAAAGAGAAAAGAAAAAUAGAGUGGGGUGGGUAUAUGAAUUUACCAUAUUAGUCUCACCUCACCCUGAUUAAAGUCUUCUUUUCUAAAUUAAAUUUUAAAAAAUUUAAUUAAAUAAAUGUAUUUUAUAAAUAAUUAAAAUAUUAUAAUUUUUAUAACUUAUUUUAUUGCAAAGUAAUUAUUUUUAUUAUUUUAUAUGUAUUAAAAAUGGGGAAAUAAAAAAUUUAAAUUAAAUUAUUUUUUGAAAUUCAUUUUAUAUAUAAUUAGGGUGAGAUGGGAUGAGACAAGGCAAAAUCUGAAACUAUCCUGCAUUUAAAAAAAAAAAAAGAAAAUCUCAAACUUGCCUCACGUUUAAAAAGAAAAAAAAUCUCAAACUUGCUCAUAACUUAUUUAUUUUAAUUCCAAACCAAUAAGGUGGGACGAGGGCCUGUAGCCAUAGAAGACUUGUAGGGAUUUUACCCGAAAAAUCUCACUCUAUUGUUAUCGUACUCCUAUCCAAGUUGAUAGUCAACUUGUAUACCUUGUUUUUUUUUUUUUUCAAUAUUCAAAUAAAUCACAAUUUAAUUUUAAUGGUCUUUAAACUAAAAGUUCAAUUAAAUGAAUUUUUUCGUGUCAUUAGCUUUCACAACCUCGUAAGUGCUAAUAAUAUUCAAUUUCAAAUAAUCAUCAAAGUCUAUACAACCAUUUCUAAAUCAAAUGUUCUCAUAGUUUAUUUUCAACCAAUCAAAGUAUAAUUAAAUUACAUAUAUCCAAAUUCCCCAAAUAAAUACACAUCUAAUUUCCCCGUUGCUUGGUAGGAGGCCUUACACCCAACAGGGUUAACAAGUAAUAAUCAAAGACUAAAAAUACAUGAAAUAUUGUAAAAUUAUAAAGUGACAUGAGAAGAAAACAAGAAAGAGAAAUCAGAAUGUAGGAAGAGAAUAGAAUUUCAUUAGAGGUAUUUCCCUUUUAUAGGGAGUCACAAAGAGAUAUACAUCAAUAUGGAUGAUCAUCCACAAGUUCCCAUAAUCCGAUAAAUUCUCAUAUUUUAUAACACUCCCCUUUGGAUGAUCAUAAGAAUAUGCCUCAUUAAAACCUUACUAGGAAAAACCCCAUGGGAAAAAACUUUAGUGAAGGAAAAAUAGUACACUAUUCUUUUGGAUUACUAUAACUACCUCGUUAAAAACCUUGCCAGUAAAACCCAUUGGGACAAAACCUGGAUGAAGGAAAAAAAAGUGCAGUAUAUCCAUAUUAUCAUUCUCCCCCUCAUGUAAACAUGAUUAUGAUUUCUUCAACAUUUCAAAUGGUAGAUCUCUCAAUCUUCAUAUUCCAAAGUCAUACCUUAACUUUUUCAAUGUGGUCAAAGGUAACACCUUUGUGAAUAGAUAUGUUAGAUUAUUUCAUGUAUUCAAAUAAAAUAAAUUUUCCUUCACUAAGGUUUUUUCCCAUGGAGUUUUUCUUAGUAAGGUUUUAAUGAAGUAUAUUUUUAAGAUCAUCUAAGGGGGAGUGUUAUAAAAUAUGAGAAUUUAUCAGAUUAUGGGAACUUGUGGAUGAUAAUUCAUAUUGAUGUACAUCUUUUUACGAAUCCCUAUAAAAGGGAGAUACCUCUAAUGAAAUUCUAUUCUCUUCCUACAUUCUGAUUUUUUUUUCUUAUUUUCUUCUCCUUUCACUUUAUAAUUUUAUAACAUGUUAUCAGCACGACUAGUCUCUACAAAAGAAAUAGAAAUAUUUUUCUCUAUUCAGAAAAAUAACAAGAUAUUCUUUAUUCUUUCUCACAAAAAGGUAUGUGAUAAACUUAUAUCAUGAUUUUCUAUUUUAUUACCUUUGAUCUCUAUUUUCAUUUAUUUUAUUUGAAUAUAUAAAUAUAUAUAAUCUCAAUAACCGGAAGUUAUGGGGUAAAUUCAUAACCAGAAGUUAUAAAAAUUAUGUGCAAUUCCUAUAACCAGAAGUUAUGAGGAAAAAUUAGAAAAUUACAUAUACAUAACCAGAAGUUAUGUAUAUGAUCUCUAAUUAUUUAUUUUUAAUUAUACGGUAUAACUGAAUGUUAUACCAAACAAUAUUAUAUAGCUAGAAGGUAUAAAAUAAAUAAAUAAAUAAAUGUUCAUAGCCUGAUUAUUUUGUCAGAAUAAGAAAAUAUUUAAAUUUGUACAUAACUUAGGCCAUGAUUAUUUUGUCAGAACAAGAAAAUAUUUAAAUUUGUACAUAACUUAGGUCAUGAACUGUUUUUUAUAUAAAUUUAUAUAUAUCUUCAGGCUAUGAACUAUUUAUUGUGUAGAUUUGUGCAUAACUUCGGGCUAUGAACUUUCAUUAUGUAGAUUUGUACAUAACUUCAAGCUAUGAACAUUUAUGUAUUUAUUUACUUUAUAGCUUCUGGCUAUAAUAUUGUUUGGUAUGACAUCCAGUUAUACCGUAUAAUUAAAAAUAAAUAAUUAGAGAUUAUAUACAUAACUUCUGAUCAUGUAUUUGUAAUUCUGUAAUUUUUCUUCAUAACUUCUGGUUAUAGGAAUUGCACAUAUUUUUCAUAACUUCUGGUUAUAAAUUUACCCCAUAAUUUAUAAUUUACCCCAUAACUUCUGGUUAUAGAGAUUAUACAUAUUUAUGUAUUCAAAUAAAAUAAAUGAAAAUAGAGAUCAAAAGGUAAUAAAAUAGAAAAUCAUGAUAUAAGUUUAUCACAUACCUUUUUGUGAGAAAGAAGAGAGAAGAUCUUUCUAUUUUUUUGAAUAGAGAAAAAUCUUUCUAUUUCUUUUGUAGAGACUAGUUGUGUUGAUAACGUGUUGUAAACUUAUAAAGUGAAAGGAGAAGAAAAUAAGAAAGAGAAAUCAAAAUGUAGGAAGAGAAUAAAAUUUCAUUAGAGGUAUAGGGAGUCACAAAGAGAUAUACAUUGAUCAUUCACAAGUUUCCAUAAUCCGAUAAAUUCUCAUAUUUUAUAACAUGAAAAUAUUAAUAAGAUAUUUUAUUUUAUCCCGAAUAUGUAUAUAUAUAUAUAUAUAUAUCUUGGUAAUUAAUAAAAAAAUACAAAUGGACGUGAAUACACCCAAUCAUACGAUUCACUAUUCUUCUUGGGGUUUCACCUAAUGAUAUGUGUAUGUAAUCAAGUAUACUCUCCAUUUAGAUUUUUCUCGGGUCUAUUGUUAUGUCUUUUAUACUUGUGAUCACGCUCUUUUCUUAAUUUAUCCUCUUAUGUGACAUUUCUUUUUUGUCUCUCAUUUUUUUUUUUCCAUUUUACACCACCUUUCCUCAUUAUAUAUAUAUAUUCACACAAUUAUGAUGCAAAUAUAAUAUAUAAUAUGAAACUAUUAUUUUUAGAACAUAUUUUUAUCUUUUAAAUUGACUCCAAAAUUUAAAAAUUCAAUACACAUUUUUUUUUUAAUUCUCAUGAAUUAAUGAUCAUUUCAUUUUCCUCUAGCACUAUUUUAUCAACAUCAAUAAAAAUAUAAUUUAAAUAACACUCAUAUACCAAAUCACCCGUGGAUAUUACAAGUAUUAACAUAUUUAUUUCAUGGCAUAAUAUUUAUAACUUUUUUCUUAAAAAUAUAUUAAAUAAAUUUUUUUGGGAUACAUCGCCCUACCAAAAACUGCGAACCUAAUCGUUAUUUUUGAAAUUGAGCUUUGUAGCCAUAUUCCCCAAAUAAAAGGUGGUUUGUUUCAACGAAUUUCUGUUUUUAUUUUCAAAGAAAACAAAAGGUAGGUUUUAAAUAUGUUUAGACAAUGUUUUACCGGUUUUUGUUUUCUAGAAAUCUAAAUUCAGAAAAUGGAAAAAAAAAAAAUGAAAACAUCAAUUUGUUAUUUUCAAAAUUUUAUUAAGAAAGGUGAAAACAAUUUUAAAAAAUAUUCAAAACAAAGAAAAUAAAAAUAAAAAAGACCUUAUGGGAUUGAUCAUAAUAUAAAAAAAUAAAUACAAAUAUUGUAUAUAUAAAAAAUAUUAAUAUAAAUAAAACAUGAAAUAAUAAGUAAUGUAUAAAUAUUUGGUUUAUUUUUUGGAUUAGAGAUUAUUUAUAAGUUGAUAUAUUUUUUGAAUAUAAACUAAUUCAUUUUAAUUGAUUAGUCAGAAGAUUAUUAGAAUAUUUUAUUACAUUAUUUUAAAACAAAAAUAAUAUAGUAAAGAAAAUAAAAAAGAAUAAUGAACAAAUACAAGGAAAGCGUGACUUUAUAGUAUAUAUGUUAUAACACAUAACAUAAAAAAUAAUCAUAAUUAUAUAAAAUUUUAAUUAUAUUUAAUUUCACAAUUUUUAAUAAAAACUUAAAAUCAAAAUUUUUUUUUGCAAAUUUUAUUUUUUAAAAGCAGAUUUCAUUUUUCUUAAACAAAAUGUAUUUUUUAAGAAAAUAAAAAAUAGAAAGUGAAAAUUGUUUUGAAAAAAUAAAAAUUAGAAAAGCGUUUUUCAAAUUAAAUACAAUCAAUUAAUUUCUUUUCUUUUCUUUUUUGUGAAUGUAGAUACAUUAUUGAGUCAUUAAAUCUUGUGUUAAAGUGUAGUUUUUUUUUUUCAUUUAUUUUAUUUUCUUGUUUAUUAUUGACUUGCUUCCGGAUAACAUCGAGAGUUGCAAAUACAUCUUAUGAUUGAGUACAAAUAUUAGGUCUUGUCAUUUUCUCAAGUAGGAAAAGAUACGGGUGUUUCGAUGAAUUGAAUUAAUAGUGUUAGGACAUUUGCUUUGUUUUUUUGGUUGAUAAUUUUGUUUCUUUUCAUUAUGAUAUAUGAUUUUUUUAAAUAGUGACAUUUGUAGAUGAUGACUUACUCUUUACUGAAGAUUUGAGACUGUCGUUUAAUUAAUCGGAUGGUUAUAUGUAAAUUUGAAAAGAUUUAAGUAAAGACAAUUUUUUUAUAAGUUAGAGUUAGAUGGAAAGUUUUAAAAUUAAGUUAAAAUAUUUUAAUUAAUUUUUAAAAAGUUGAGAUUUUAAUUUUUUUUAAAAAUCGGAUGUUAUCAUUAGGAAAAUGUCAUAACUUAUCCUACCAUUUUUGAAAGCUUUAAAAGGUUUUUUUUUUAUAAAUAAUUAUGGCUUGUUGAAGGGACCUACAUCAUCUCAGAGAUUGAGAUGAAUUCAGUAGAGUACUCGAGGUAUUGUGUCCCGAGGAUGUAGGUGGAAAGUAAGUGCAAGGUAAAACCAAUUUUUAUUUUUAUUUUUUUUUGUUAAAAACUCUUAAGACGAUGAUGAUGUUAUACAUAUGCAUAUUCAAUAGAUUCUGCAUCAUGAGCUCAAGCUGCUAGAUGCUAUGAAUAGGUCAGGACUGUGGAUGACAUGUGUUUGACACGUGGAAAUGAAGAGUGAGGAUGAGCAUCCAAUUAUUUUUAUCUUUAAUUCCCAUGUUUGAAUAAUUUAAAUUAUGAUGGGAAUGAAUCAAAAAGUGAUUCAAAUGGAAAUAAAAUCUUACUUAUAAGUAGGAUUUCAAUUCUCUCCAACUAGAGGUAUUUUGAUUUCUUAAUGUAAGUUAUUUUUAAAAAUACUUUUUAAAAAUUUAAAAACUAAACAUUUAAUUUUUUUGAAUAUGUUGUUUUUGAAAAGAAAUUUUUAGUUUUAUUUUGUAAAAAAAAAUAUUUUAAAUUAAGAUAAUAUAAUGUAAACUAAAUUUAAUUCAUGUCUUAUUAAAAAAUAAAAAUAAAAAUAAAUUAAAAAAUAAAUAGUUUUUAAUAAAUAUGAAUAUUAAUAAAAUAAUAAAAUCAGAAAUGGUAUAUAUUUUUUAUAAAUAUUAUAAAUAUAUAGAUAUUAACAUUAAUUGAUUUAUUUUGUUAAAAAUAAAGAAUAGUUAUUCNCNAAUUAAUAAUUUCUAAUACUAUCUAUUUUAAAUUAAUAUAAAAAAAUAAAAUUUAAUUUUUUAAGGUAUAAAUGAGCCAAAUUUUUUAUUAUAUGCAUAUAUUUAUAACCCAAUUGUGAAGAUGACAUUCUAAAUUAUUUUAUUUAUCUAUAAUUAAUUAAUCAAUUUUUUAAAAUUCAAAUUAUUCUUAAAAUUACAAGAUUUAUUAAAGAAUUUAUAGUAUUAAUUAUGUCUAUUAUUUUUAUAGUCAUUAUAUAUAUAUUUUUGAGUUUUAAAUAAUUUUUGAAAUUAUAAAACUUAUUAAUAAAUUCAAUACAAAUUCGAUUUGAAAUUCAUAUUUUCUACUAAAAAAAUCGAAAGAAUAAUUCUCUAUUUUAUUUUAUUUUUAAAAAUUGUUUUUAAAAAAUAACAAUCAAAUAGUGAUAUAAAUUUUUUAAAAACAAUUUUUUUUUUUAAAUCAUGCACCCAAAUAAGUUUUUAUUAUUUAGAAAAAAAAAACAAAUUCCUAAGGAUUUUUUCAAAUGAAAAUAAAAAAUUACUUCAAACAACGUAGAAUGUGAGAUUUUUUUUAUAAAUAAAAAUAAAAAUAAAGAAUUAUUUUAAAUCAGAUAUACAAAUAUUAUUAAUAAUUCUUUUUUUUUUUUUCAUUUUCAUUCCUAUUUUUAUUUAACAUUGAAAUAUAAUCAAAUUAUCAUUCCAAUCUUAUAUUCUUAUAUGCAUGCAAACAUAAAAAUUAAAAUUACCAAAUUCAUUCCUAUCAAUAGGGAAUAGUAGUAAAACAAAAUAUUCAUUUCCAUUCCCAUUCUUCGUUAUGCGUACCAAACAUGUCCUUAUCUUACAUAGAAUCUGGCCAACAUUAUAGGGCAUGUGGGGAUCGGGCAGAUGUUAAUUUGUUGGCCUGAAAUUGGAAAUCAUCAUCUUUAUGUCACUAAGAAGUAACUUAAUGAACCUAGCUCAAAUCCAUGCUAUGUUCAGUACAAGACAGUGAUGGUGCUAAAGACGAUAACCUAAUACGUGGGUCCCUUUUGCCUAUCAGGAAAAACAUAACACAUGCGUGCUUCCUGCGACUUCUUUCAUGAAAACUUUUCAGUCUAUUAUCCUUCGCAGUGCCAUUGAGAAACAAGUAUCUCCACAAAUUGGUUCCUCUGAUUUAAUUUGUCCAUUACAGAUAAUGGCUGUUCAAGUUAGCCUAUUUGCCACGUCCCUGGGAUUUCUGUCUUAAUCAUAUAAGACAAUAUAUUGAAUGGGAAAGCGAAGCUACGUGAACUUCCCAACUACGUAUGCAGCCUCUUGCACUCACACUCACUCACACGAAAGUCUAUAAAUACCGAGUUCGUAUUGCCCUUGCAAUCCAUCCAGCAGAGAAACAUCUUUGAGAGUUUCCUUUAUCAGUAGAGUCUUUCACCUCCUUUGCUUUUGUGUAGGAAAGAUGGCUUACUCCAGGACUUUCCUUCUCCUUGGCCUUCUCUUUGCUGUUGUUCUCAUCCUGUCCUCUGAGGUUUCAGGUCGGGAGCUAGCUGAAACAGCCGAAACUCGUAAGUUAAAUUUCUUUCAACUACUUUUUCAGUAGAAAUAAUGGCAAGUUAUAUUAUAUGUUCAUAUACAUAGGGAUAAUUUUGUUUUCUUAAAUUAUGGCAGAAGUGAUCAGCGUGGAAGAUGAGAAGCACGAUGGGUAUGGACACGGACACGGGCACGGCCACGGCCACGGAAAAGGACAUGGGCAUGGGAAACCUGGUCAUGGUGGCGCCGGUGAGGAUGUGGAAGACGAGACUGAGGGGGCUCAGAAUUAGAGUAAUCAAUCCUUAAUUAUGUGGGCCACGCAUGAUUAGGGUGGGUUUUAUGUAAGAUUAUGAAAGCGUAUAUGUCAAUAAGGCAUGUGGGCUAAGGGGUACUCCCUUAGACCAGCAUUGCUGCAGUUGUUAAAUAUGUAGGUCGGGACUUGUAUCUUUUAUUUCUCUAUGUUUUUUAUGUGCUAAAUAAAGUAUGAUGAAUGUUGUCUGGGGGUCCUACCCUUUUUACGUUGCAUUAUUUACUUGGAAUUGCCCGGAAUUUGGAUUUGAAAGGGAUUUUUUUUUUUUUUUUUUACUAUGGUAGCAUGCCCUUCAAUUCUCAUCGAUGGCUUUUACAUUUGCACCAAUAUAAUAUUAGUAAUUUCAACUUUGAACAUCAGUACUGUUUAUUUAUUUCAUUUUUUAAGGAUUUUUUUUAUUUUUUUAUUUAAUUUAAAUCUCCUUGAUUCCACUCCAAUAAAUGGUGCAACUUCAUGACCAAUAUGAACCCACCCCUUUUCACCCUGUUCUUCCAAAUAUAAUGCUUGAAAGUGAGUACUCCCAUGGAAUAAAUUGGUUUCCAAAAUCUCCAUUUAUUGAAAAAAACCACACACCCGAAUUUUCAUUUGGAAACUACCUCUCUCAUGCACCUUUGAAUUCAAUAAUCUUCUAACGUACUUUAAAAUAAAUAUAGCUACUAUCAAUAUUUUUAAAAUCAGAUCCAUCAUUGAAUUGAAAAAGUUAUCGAUCCAUGAUUCACUAAUCGAAUCGAUGGUUGAACCGUAGUCAAACCAAUGAUGUUAUAAAUAUAUAAUUUAUAUUUAUAUAUAAUUAAAAAUAAUUAUAAAAAAUAAACAAAUGUAUAUAAUUAAAAAAUUUAACAAUAUUUUAUUUUUUAUAUGAAUUAAACUAAAAAAAUUCUAUACUUGCAUAUGUAAUAUUAAUAGAUUAAAUCAUGAUAUAUAUGCUAAUAUUUCUAAAUUUACUAUUAUAUGUAUGUAGUAUUUAUGAUUUAAUAUUAAGAAGAUAUAUAUAUCCUAAGAUGAAAUCAAAUUUUAUAUGUCAUUUUAUCAUUUAAAAAUUAUUAAGCUUAUUUUACUAUAUGAAUAUUUUUAUUUAUUUCAAAAUUUUAUUUAUUUAUUAAAAAAAUAAUAUGCAAAUAUAUUUAACAACUGACUUGGGUUAAAAACACAAUUAGGUAAGUGGUCGCUGGUUUCAUUUUAUAUGCCCAGCUCGAAUUUUAAGUGGCUGACGUAGGAGUCUUGGGAAUGAAACAGAGCUGCAAAAUGAUGAAGGUGGGUUGCAUGGACCCAAAUCUUGAGAUAAAGUUGGAAAAAUGAUGGGUUUAUAGAAAAGGAAAAGAUCGUUCAGUUCUCAAAAACCGGUCGGUCCACUGGUUUGGAUGGUGCAUCUGUCGGUUCAUGUGAUUUGAUCCCGAUCCAAUGCUUCUAACGGUUUAACCGUUUAAUCAGAUUGGAACCAUGAUUGAUCGACGAUCUAAUUGGUUAAAUCGACGGACACAAUCUGAUUUUCAAAACCAUGGUUAUUACGAUAAAAACAUAAACAUUCCUCGUUUUAUUGUAAUAUUUGUUAGUAGAUUAAGGUAUUUAAAUUAAGUUGAUAAUUUUGUUUCCUAAUCUUGAUUUAGAAUUCUAUGUAUUUUUUAUUUUUUAUUUUUAUGAUUUACACUUCUAUUAAGUAAGGUUAUAAGAUUCAGGAAUAAAAUCAAUUUCGAAAGAAUUUCAAAUGGAAAGUCUUUUUAAACUUAAAAUAUGAUAUCUUUUUAAAUAUUUCUAAAAUUUAAAUAUUAAUUGUAUUCUUUUUAGUAAAAUAUGAUUUCUAAAUCGAUUAAAAGUUUACUAGAAUAUAUAUAUAUAUAUAUGCCUACUAGAAGAGUUCUCUUCCAAGAAUUCAUGUACCUAAAUUUUAUCUUAAAUUUUAAGACUGUUUGUCUUUUUCUUGAGUUGGAAGACUUUGAAUACAUUUGACAAUAAUUUUUAAAAGUAUUUAUAGUGUUUCUAAUAUUUGAAAAAUAAAAAUUUUAAAGACCAAAAACACUUUUCCAAAUUAUUGCAAAAUGCAUUCUUUGUGGCACUCUCAAUUGAGGAUGUUCUUUUUUGGAUCGACUUGUUGACGUGAGGACUGAGGAGGGACGUAUACAUGCACUGUAUAAGACAUGGUUGGCUAAUUCCAAUUUCCAACUACGUUAUUAAAGUGAGUGAUUUUGGAACCUUAAAAUGAUACGACAGACAUAGUAUAGCAUUUUUUGUUAGAAGGAUCGAAAUCCAUACAUUCUAUGACUUGUGAAAUAUGUUGGAGAGGGCUACCUAUUAAUAUUACUGCUAAUAUAUAGUGUAUAUAUGGUCCCCACCAGUACUUCAAUUCUCUGAAAAAAUGAAAUCUAGCAAAACCACGUGAGGAAAAGCUUUCUCACUGUAGAACUUAUCCAAACUUUUUCUUUGUUGCUAUAUUUGGUUUUUAUCCUCCAUCAACAAGUUAUUAGCAAUCAACCAUUGGCUAAGUGGGAAAUUUACUAGGUUAAAAAAUCACUGCUACAAAAAAUACAUUCAAUGACGGUCAUUUCCUUGGCGCUGGUAAGAAACGUCAAGUUACGGGGAUUUUUGAUAAUUUAAAAUUAAUUUUUUAAAAUACAGUAUAAUAAAAACUAUUUUCAAAUCUAUGAUACUUUUUUGUCACUUUUAAAAGUGUAUUUUAAAAAGACACUUUACAUCAUUUUUAUAUAAAUGAUAUACGUUUAAAACAAUUGAAUUUACAUUGAAGGUGUCUCUGGAAGAGACAAGAGACACCUUCCAUAAUUUUUAUAUCAAUAACACAUGUUAAAAAUUUUGAAUUUACAUUAAAAGUGUCUCUUCAAGAGACACCUUUUAUAAUUUUACAAAAUCAAAUUUAUAUUAAAAGUGUCUUUUAAAUAGAUAUUUUCACAGUUUUCAUAUCAGUUGCAUAAUAAAAAAUUGAAUUUAUACUAAAAAUGUAUUCUUAAGAUAUAAUUUUUUACAAUUUUACAAAAUUAAAUUUAUAUUAAAAGUGUAUCUUGAAUAGACACCUUCAAUAAUUCUUGCAUCAGUCAUCUAUUGANNNNNNNNNNNNNNNNNNNNNNNNNNNNNNNNNNNNNNNNNNNNNNNNNNNNNNNNNNNNNNNNNNNNNNNNNNNNNNNNNNNNNNNNNNUUGCAUCAGUCAUCUAUUGAAAUAAUGAAUUUAUACUAAAAGUGCAUUUUAAAAAACACAUUCCAUAAUUUCAUAAAAUUAAAUUUAUAUUGAAAGAUUAUUCGUUCAAGAGACACUUUUAGUAUAAAUUUAAUUUUUUUGAUAGGUGAUUAAUAUAAAAAUUGUGGAAAUUAUUUCUUCAAAAGACACAUUUAGUAUAAAUUUAAUUUUGUGGAAUUGAAUAGAUUCCUUCAAUGUAAAUUCAAUUUUUUUCACUGUGUAACUGAUAUGAAAAUUAUCAAAGAUGUCUCUUCUAGAGACACCUUUAGUAUUAAUUUGAUUUUAUGGUAUUGUGGAAAUGAUAUUUCUUUAAUAUAAAUUCAAUUUUUUUUAACGUGUAUGACUAAUAAAAAAAUUAUGAAAAAAUAUCUUUUGAAGAAACACCUUUAACAUAUAUUUAAUUUUAUGGAAUUAUAAAGUAUGUCUCUUCAAGAGACACCUUUAGUGUAAUUCAUUUUUUUUGGGGAGAAUUAUGUUUUGGGGGUAGAUGGGCUCUCAAAUUAACAAAAGGUCCAUAUAACUCUUCAAAUUGAGCCCAAGACCCAAUGAAAGUAUGGAAAUUGAGUUGAAGGAUAUCAUUCUUCAGUAUUUACAAAAAUACCCUUUGUUGAUUUUGAAAAAAAAAUUAAUAUUUUUGAAAAAUACUUUUAUUUAAUUUAAUAUUUUUUAUUUUAUUUAAUAUUUAAAAAAAUACUUUUAUGUAAUUUAAUAUUUUUAAAAUACUUUUAUUUAAUUUAAUAAUUUUAAAAAAUAAAUUUAUUUAAUUUAAUAUUUUAAAAAAAUAUUUUAAAAAAAAUAUUUUAAAAAAAAUAUUUAAUUUAAUAUUUUUUUAAAUACUUUAAUUUAAUUUAAUAUUUUUGAAAAAAAAUUUAUUUAAUUUAAUAUUUUUAAAAACUACUUUUAUUUAAUUUAGUAUUUUUGAAAAAAAAAAUUAUUUAACUUAAUUUUAUAAAAUAUUUUAUAUGUGUUUUUAAAGGGUAUAUUUGUCCGUUACUAUUUCAUAUCCUUCAACUCAAUUUGAAGAGUUACAUGGACCCUUUAUUAAUUUGGGGCCCAUCUACCCCCAAAAGAUAAUUCUCCCUUUUUUUUUUUUUUAACAUUUAUGGUUGAUAUGAAAAAUAUAUAAGGUAUUUCUUUAAGAAACACAUUUCAAAGUGGGAAAAAAAUGCCGUAGAUUUGAAAUUAUUUUUCAAACUACCAUAGUUUAAGAAUUAUUUUUUAAAGUACCGUUUUUUAAGAAUUAUUUUUUAAAAUAGCUGUAUAAGUUAAAAAAAGCCCCAAGUUACUGCAGGAAACACAUUGAGGAGUCAUGGAUGGUGGAAGUAUAGCUUUGCUGCUCCUGGACUUUCUGGACAGUCCCUUUGGACUCACAAAAGAGUCUUCAGUCACUAAAGAGGACAGAAAAUUCAUAUUGUUCGAUUUGUGUCAAAAUCCACUCGUAGAAAGUGGUUGUUGCAUCGUUUUGGAUCGCCAUAUAGAUGGUUUUGAUUCUUGUCUAAUUUUCUAUGAUAGUAAUUUUUCUUAAGUUUUCUUAGUCUCAAAAAGUGUUUAUUUUAUUUUAUUUUUUUACAAAUUAUAAAUAAAGUUUGAAUGCCUUUGGAUGGUUUAUUUCUCAAUUUUUAUGCCAAAUUUUUUGGUACAUUUCUUAGGCAAUAUCAUAUGUUUAUAUAUCAUUAAUUUGUUCUCUUAAACAAAAUUUGUUGUCAUAAAUAGGAAGAUUACGAAUGUUUAUGUAAUUGCAUGUUAAUAUUAGAAGUUAUUAAUAUAUUUAGUUACUAUAUUAUAAUUAUAUAUUUAUUAUUUAAUUAUUAUACUACAAUUAUUUUCUUUCUUUUUAGAAAUAAUGAUAAAUUAGUCUUUAUUUUCUUUUAUUAGACUUAUUUAAAUUGUAAUUGUCUUAUAUUUAUUUUAAAGAGAAUUGAUAAUAAGAAAUACCAAAUUUUCUUUUCUUUUCUCUUUGAAUCUUUUUUAGAUUUUAACAUGGUAUUAAAGCCUAGUUUGACAGGAGGCCAUGAGUUCGAGCCACCUCUUCACAUCUUUAAUGAGACUUUUGAUUUGUAAUUUCAUGAAAAAGAGUUUAAUAUCAUACGUUGUUUUCGUAUCUGUUUGAUCGUGAGAUAUAAUAAUGGGUGUUUACAUAAUUCUUUUCGUGUUUGAUCCUAAUAUUUGAUUUUGUAUUCAUUUGUUCGAUAUAAUCCAAAUUCUAUUUGUUGGAUAUGAAUCCAAAAUUCUGUCUAUCUUUCUUUUUUCUAUGUUGUUGAAUAUGAAUUCAAAUUAUAUUUGUUUCUAUUUGUUAUAUAUGAAUUCAAAUUCUCUUUGGCUUUGUCUUUUGGAAAUGAAUCCAAAAUUUGUUAAUCUUUUUUUCUUUUAUUUCUCAUUUUUCUAUGGUUUUAUGUCUUCUUCUAUCUCUAUUUAUUGAUUUCUCAUUCCUUGAUAAGUUUUAUGUUGACUUCUAUUUUUCUUUCUUUGAUGGUUUAGUUUUGUGUCUUUUUUUUUUUCUUCCUUUUUUUUCCAUUAUAGUUUUAGUUUUGUCUUAUUGUACUUUUUCUUUGAACAUAUGCUUUUUCUAUUCCUAUCGAGUCUCAUGGUGUCUUUGUGUUUGAGCUUGUUCACAUUGGUCUUUUUUUGUGAAUGAUACAAAUAAUAUCCAUGCAAAUAUUGAUAUUUGACACUUCAAUUAAACGGUGCAAAGCUCGAUUGUUUGCUAAGAGAUUUUUUCAAUAGUAUGAUUGUAAAGUUGUUUACCAAGUCAUACUUAUUUUCACAUUUUUUUAUUUUCGAUUAAAAACUUUCAAUACUUUUCGUAGUUGCAUUUUGAGCUUGUGAGGCGUGUUAGACGUUAUUAAUUAAUAUAUUUAGUUACUAUUUAUAAUUAUAUAUUUAGUUACUAUAUUUAUUUAUUUAGUUAUUAUAUUAAAAUUAUUAUUAUUUUUUAAAAUAAGAGUAAAUUAGUCUUUAUUUUAUUUUAUUAGACCUAUUUAAAUUGUAAUAAUGUUAUAUCUAUUUUAAAGGGAAUUCAUAAUAAAAAAAUCUUAAAUUUUCUUUCAUUUCUCUUUUUUUUUUUUUCUUUUUUAAUAUUUUUUGAAUUUCAACAUGUAAAAGUCUUAAGCAAGCCAAGUUGUUCAAAUUGUAAUUAUCUUUAUUUCUUUGAUCAAUCACAUUCCUAAUAUCUAUAAAGACCAUGAAAUUAUUAUUUGAUGAGAUGGUUAGAGUGAUGAGAGAAAGUGAUCGGUUGUCAUAAAUUCAUGUGGUCUUAUCAACCCUACAGGAGACUAAUGUUGGUUAAUCAUUUUCAUUUGUCGUCUACGAUGAGUCUUUAAAUUCAAAUUCAUCUAUUAAUGUUGACAACUUCAUCACAUCCACCCACUCAUUACUUUGCAUAAUCCCAUCUCUCCUUUCGUUAUUUCAAAUAUUGCGUAGCACACUUUCUAUAUUUUUUUUUAAUAUAAUUUUUUAGAGUCUUUUAAUAAAUCUUUUCGUUUCUUUCAUAAUGCCUCAAUUUUUUUCAAAUCAAUUUCUUUGUUGUAGUCUUUAUUCAAUAGAUUCCAUAAAUUUUGAGAGUUGCCCUUGAAUUGAGUUAUUAUUUAUUGUUAUGAUUUUACUACAAAAUUUACAAUUUCUUAAUAUUUUGCACAUUUUUCUUGUGUCAUAACUUUGAUAUUCCGACCCUUAAUAGAAAUUUCUAAUCGUGACACCAUAUGUUGAGACGUACACAGUUGUGAUAAUAAUUUUUACUCAAAAAAUAUUUUAUUUUAUUGAACUUAUUAACCAAUCUAUAUUUAUAAUAAAUUAAUCAUAUUUAUGUUAUAAGUCUAAUUCAUAAUUAAAAUAAGACUUAUAAAUAACAUUAAAAAAAUUAAAUAAAUAAUAAACUUGAAAUUUUCCAAAUUCCUAAAAUUCUUUUGAUUUUACUUCAGGUGGAAUUAAUAUUUUCAAUAUGUUAAACUUAUUAAAAAAAUUCUAAAAUUAAAGUUAUAGUUAAGGAGGGUUUAAGCCUUGUUUGGGAUGACAUUUAGCUAUUGCUAAACUAAUUAAUAUUGUAUUAUUUUUAUGUUUAAAAAAAUAGUUAAAUAAAAAUUAGUUAAGAGUUUUAUCCAAGUUAGGUCAGUCCUUUAAAUGCUGGCUUUAGCUUUUGAAAAGCUCUCCCAAAUAGGACUUAAUAAUAAGUGUCAUUUUGGCAGGUUGCAUGUUGAGUGGUAUGAAGCCGCAAAGUAGGAAGAUGAUGGCGUUCACAUUUGAAUCAUAAGAGUAAAGAACAGAGAAUAAGUAGGUAAAUUAAUUAUAUUGUUCAUUUGAUCUUUUUAUUUAUUUAUUUAUUUUUAUAGAUAUAGAGUUAUGACAAAAAAGGACAAAAAAAAAGUGAUUUAAAUGAUACAUACUUAAUUAUAGGUAAUUUAUCUAUUGUUGGACCUUUAACCUAUGUUUGAUUCUCAAAAAAUUUGAGAGAAAAUGUAUGUAUAUGAAAGAAAAUAGAGAAGAAAAAUAGUAAAAAAAAAAUGAAGGAAAAUAAAAUAUAGAUUUAAAGUUAAUAAAUUAAUUUUAUUUACUACUUUAAAUUUAUUUAACUUAGUUUAACUCCUCAUUUAAAAGAUUAAAUAAUUUGAAAAUAUUUAAGUUUUUAGCUUAUUUUAAUUAUAUUUUAUUUUCUUUUAUGUUUUUUUAUAGUACAAUCAAAUAUAAGAAAAUAAUUUUUCUUAUUAUUUUUUUUUUCUUAGUAUUUUUUAGGAAUCAAAUAUAAACCUUAAGGAAUAAAGGGUACUUGGUGUAACCUUAAAAAUUUUAGUACUAAUAAUUCUAAAAAAACUUUUGGAUAACCAAAUAAUCUUUCAUGGAGUUCCAAACCUCGGGUUACAACAAUCAAUAUUGAAUAAAUUUGUAGUAACAUCAAAAGAAGUUAAUAAGAAAUUAACAUUAAUGUUUAAUUUUGAUAAUACCAAGAAAAUAAAAAUAAUAAAUGAGAAAGUAAUUAUAUGGUUUGAUAAUGUGUCGAUAUUAUGGUAGAGAGGAAAUCAAUUCAUUAUAUUUAAAGAAGUAAUUACAUUAUUAAAACUCUCAAAUCUACGUGAAUAAAUCUAUUUUUAUAACAAAAUCUCAUAUAUUUCUUAAAAUUAUGCAUAUGCAUGUUGCUCGUGGAGGAAUCUAUCCAAAUAAAUUAAGGUUGGUGGAUACAAGACAAAUAUAAGUGACGUAAGACGGGACGUAAUCAAUCAUCCAAGUGAAACCACGUGUGUGAACUGUGAAGCACAAGAUUAUGGGUUACUCACCCCUUCAACUUCAUGUGGAGAAGAAUUAAUUUUGAAUUUUAUGCUCCAGCCCAUGGCCUGAAACCUAUUGGUCUCACUGUCAAUGCUGUCCUUUUUCGAAUUUGAUGACGCGAGGAGGGACGUAUGCGAUGUACGGGACAUGGUUAUAUUAUUAUACCUUAAUUAUGUUCAUUUGUACAUUUACAUAUACAAACUUUUUCUUUUUUCUUUUCUUCUCUUAAUUAUUUAUUUAUUUUUUAGUUUUUAUCUUUUACCUUUUUUCAGUUUUUUAUUUUUUUAUUUUUUUUAUACAAUUAGUAUACCCUACAGACUUCCAAAUCAAGAAAUUAAAAUUAAUUUUGAGAAUUAUUUUCAUGAAUAAAAUCAUAUUUAGAAACUUAAAUAUAACACUAUAUACUUAUUAUAUAUAAUACGAAGAUUCUCAACAUAAUCCUUGUAUUUUGAAUUAUUAAUUAAAACACUUUAUCAUAAAACACCUUAAUUUUACUGUAAAAAUAAUUAAUUUUUAGAGCAAAUUUAUAAAAAAAGAAAAAAGCUAGACAUGUUCUUAAAUUUUUAAGGAUAACUAAAGGCUGACCAAAUCCGGCAAAAGCACGUGAGAAAAAGCUUUCACAAGCAAAAUCAAUCUAAGGCGUUACCUUUAUUGCUAUUUUUCCUUUUUAUCCCAAUGUAGGCAGUGAAGUAGAAUUUUUCUGACUCUGGAUUCUUUGGGCAGUCCCAAGAUUUGGACUCAAAAGAGUCUUGGGUCAUGGGGAGAGGAGCCGAGCCUAAGGAUUCAUGUCAAGUUAAAUUAUUUGCAAAGCAGAAAGGUUAGACAUUGGAAGCAAAAGGGCGGUGAGCACAGCUAGAAAAAGUGCUUUAUCGACACAUGCUUUUGUUAAAGA